rnacentral:lncRNA from 1 species
GUUGUGAGCCUGCGAAAGAAGUUUGUGUGGGGACUGUGGGCAGUGAACGCGUUGGGAACAAUAUGGAAAACUGGGAGCCGCCUUGGAAUCUACAGGGCCGGGACCCACUCGAGCCAUCCACACUUGCCCCAGCCUCCUCCAAAACAGCACACUUUCCGGCUGAAGAAAAGAAGAAUGGUAUUCACGCAGUUCCCAUUUUACAGAUGAAAACAAGAGGACUUUUUCUGUGAAGUCAAGAAAGUGGUUACAAUGGUACUUUCAGCCUGUCCGAAUUAUGUAUUGCCCCUCCCCUUUUUAUUAAUAACAUUGAAGUGUGAUGGGACAACCACUGAAGCCGUCAGUUGAAACCUGCUGGGACUUUUUAGCCAUUCUCUUCAACAUAAAGAAUGGGUGUUUUUGGAGGGGGUGAGAGGAAUGGGGAAAUGUUGUCAAAGAGUACAACGUUUUAGUUGAGACAGGAAGAAUAUAUUUUGUUGAGAUCUACAGCACAGCAUGGUGACUGUAGUUAACAAUGAAGUAUUGUCUAUUUCCAAAUUGCUAAGACAAUAAAUUUCAAAUGUUCUCACCACAAAAAA